rnacentral:rRNA from 1 species
CCGUAACUAUAACGGUCCUAAGGUAGCGAAAUUCCUUGUCGGGUAAGUUCCGACCUGCACGAAUGGCGUAAUGAUGGCCAGGCUGUCUCCACCCGAGACUCAGUGAAAUUGAACUCGCUGUGAAGAUGCAGUGUACCCGCGGCAAGACGGAAAGACCCCGUGAACCUUUACUAUAGCUUGACACUGAACAUUGAGCCUUGAUGUGUAGGAUAGGUGGGAGGCUUUGAAGUGUGGACGCCAGUCUGCAUGGAGCCGACCUUGAAAUACCACCCUUUAAUGUUUGAUGUUCUAACGUGGACCCGUAAUCCGGGUUGCGGACAGUGUCUGGUGGGUAGUUUGACUGGGGCGGUCUCCUCCUAAAGAGUAACGGAGGAGCACGAAGGUUGGCUAAUCCUGGUCGGACAUCAGGAGGUUAGUGCAAUGGCAUAAGCCAGCUUGACUGCGAGCGUGACGGCGCGAGCAGGUGCGAAAGCAGGUCAUAGUGAUCCGGUGGUUCUGAAUGGAAGGGCCAUCGCUCAACGGAUAAAAGGUACUCCGGGGAUAACAGGCUGAUACCGCCCAAGAGUUCAUAUCGACGGCGGUGUUUGGCACCUCGAUGUCGGCUCAUCACAUCCUGGGGCUGAAGUAGGUCCCAAGGGUAUGGCUGUUCGCCAUUUAAAGUGGUACGCGAGCUGGGUUUAGAACGUCGUGAGACAGUUCGGUCCCUAUCUGCCGUGGGCGCUGGAGAACUGAGGGGGGCUGCUCCUAGUACGAGAGGACCGGAGUGGACGCAUCACUGGUGUUCGGGUUGUCAUGCCAAUGGCACUGCCCGGUAGCUAAAUGCGGAAGAGAUAAGUGCUGAAAGCAUCUAAGCACGAAACUUGCCCCGAGAUGAGUUCUCCCUGAGACUUAGAGUCUCCUGAAGGAACGUUGAAGACGACGACGUUGAUAGGCCGGGUGUGUAAGCGCAGCGAUGCGUUGAGCUAACCGGUACUAAUGAACCGUGAGGCUUAACCUU